rnacentral:rRNA from 1 species
CUACGGGCGGCAGCAGUGAGGAAUUUUGCGCAAUGGGGGCAACCCUGACGCAGCAACGCCGCGUGAGUGAAGAAGGCCUUUGGGUCGUAAAGCUCUGUCGACAGGGAAGAAGUUAUUGUUGUUUAAUAGAUGACAGUAUUGACGGUACCUGUAGAGGAAGCACCGGCUAACUCCGUGCCAGCAGCCGCGGUAAUACGGGGGGUGCAAGCGUUAUUCGGAAUUAUUGGGCGUAAAGGGCGCGUAGGCGGUCUUGUCGGUCAGAUGUGAAAGCCCAGGGCUCAACCCUGGACGUGCAUUUGAAACAGCAAGACUUGAGUACGGGAGAGGAAAGCGGAAUUCCUGGUGUAGAGGUGAAAUUCGUAGAUAUCAGGAGGAACACCGAUGGCGAAGGCAGCUUUCUGGACCGAUACUGACGCUGAGGCGCGAAGGUGUGGGUAGCGAACGGGAUUAGAUACCCGGGUAGUC